rnacentral:rRNA from 1 species
UCGAGAAUCUUCGGCAAUGGGCGCAAGCCUGACCGAGCGACGCCGCGUGUGCGACGAAGGCCUUCGGGUUGUAAAGCACUGUCGAGGGGGAGGAAGCCGCAAGGUUGACCUAUCCCUGGAGGAAGGACGGGCUAAGUUCGUGCCAGCAGCCGCGGUAAGACGAACCGUCCUAACGUUGUUCGGAAUCACUGGGCUUAAAGGGCGCGUAGGCGGGCCAUCAAGUCCGGGGUGAAAUACUUCGGCUUAACCGGAGAAUUGCCUUGGAUACUGGUGGUCUAGAGGGAGGUAGGGGUCUGUGGAACUUCCGGUGGAGCGGUGAAAUGCGUUGAUAUCGGAAGGAACGCCGGUGGCGAAAGCGACGGACUGGACCUCUUCUGACGCUGAGGCGCGAAAGCCAGGGGAGCAAACGG